GUUUAUGCCCAUAUUCCUCCACCUUACAGUCACAAUUUUGAAAGUCAUGUUCCUGAUGCGAGUAGUAGUCCAAAUUAACCACCAGUGAUGUUUUUAAACAAUUCUGGACGUUCUAAAGAAAAGGCGGAAGUAACAGACCUCAAAAGCUGUAUUAAAACAGUCCUUCAUUAAAACAUUGACUGCACCACAUCUUUAUUUGGAAUUUCAGAGAGAUUUUACCCAUACUGAUGCUCUGAAGCAUUCUGCUAAACCUAAAUUUGACCAAAAAAAUCAGUGAAAAGUAACUUUUGUUGGUGAAGCUGGAGAAGAUAUUGGGGGACUAUGCAGAGAAUUUUGGAGGUUAUUUGUGUC